UACAGGGGGUGCAAACGUUGCUCGGAAUCAUUGGGCGUAAAGCGCACGUAGGCGGUCUGUUAUGUCGGGUGUGAAAGCCCUUGGCUCAACUGAGGAAGUGCAUCCGAAACUGGCAGGCUAGAGUACUAAAGAGGAUCGCGGAAUUCCCGGUGUAGAGGUGAAAUUCGUAGAUAUCGGGAGGAACACCGGUGGCGAAGGCGGCGAUCUGGGUAGAUACUGACGCUGAGGUGCGAAAGCGUGGGGAGCAAACAGG
rnacentral:rRNA from 1 species